rnacentral:lncRNA from 10 species
AAUUAAUGCAAAAAGGCUCAAGCUUCUGUGCCCCUGGGAAAUGGCAGAGGAAGACAGCUUCAGCCUCAGAGCACACAGCACUGAGUUGUAAGAAACAGGUCUCAUCAUCCCCUUGGCCAGCAGAUUUUCACCCUGGGCCCACUAAGAAGCCUGCCAGGGGGUCCUCUGUUGUCUGGACCCUGAGGCUUCAUCCUCAAUGUGUUGGAGCCUAGGAGAGAGGAUUAGAGUUAUGCGAGAUGAGGUCUCAAUGAAGCAGUGUUGUUGCCUGGGGUAAAUACCCGGGUUCAUCAUCUCGAGCCAAGAAGAUUAAGGACAUGAACACACAUGAAGAGUAAGUUUAGGAGCAGAGGUUUAAUAGGCAAAAGAAAGAGAAAGGAGAACAGCUCUCUCCCUUGCAAAAGAGAGGGGCUCCCAAAGGGGAAAACCCAGCCUGCGGUGGACUACACCCGAUUUUAUAGGCAAGCUUGAGAAGGCAGUGUCUGAUUUAUGUAGGGUUCACAGAUUGGUUUGACCAGUAUGAUGUUUACAUAGUAUUCACGGAAGGCUGCAUGCCCCACCCUAAUCUUAUUAUGUAAAUGGAGUCUUUGCCUGGCUGGCGCCAUAUUGUCUUCUCCUUACUGUACAUGUGGUUUGACAAAGGGAAGGGAAGAUGAAGCUGCCAUUUUGAACAUGCCUAGUCCCAGGUAGCCUUUUCCUGUUGGCACAACUGCUGGCAUUCACCUGUACAAGCUUCCAGCUUGCUUACCUAUGUCUGCAGCUCGAUUUUACAGGCUGCUCUUUGUAGAAAAAAAAACAAAAAACUAUUUUGAGACUGCUUUUCAUGAAAAGAAAAACCUUACCAAGGACUCCCAGACCCUCACUAUCUGCCUAAGUAAUUUCUUCUUAACUCCUGUAUCAUUACUAUAUUGCCCAGGCUGGUCUCAAAUUCCUGGGCUCAAGUGAUCCUCCCACCUUAGCCUCCCAAAGUGCUAGGAUUACAGGCAUGAGCCACUGUGCCCAGCCAUGUUGUAUUUUUUAAAGUACAGUUUAUCAUGAAAAAGGGAGAAAAGGUACUACAUCCAACCAGAAUGGCUAAAAUGAAAGAGAUAAACACUAUCAAAUUUUGACAAAGAUAUGAAACAACCAGAACUCUCAUAUAUGCCUGGUGGCAGUGUAAAAUGGCAUAGCCACUUUAGGAAAUAGCUUGGUAGUAUCCACUAAAGCUGAAAAUAUGCAUAUAUUCAAUUGUAUUCUUAAGUAUAUAUCCUACAAAAAUUUAUGAGCGUUUUAACCAAAAGAUCUGUGUACAAAUGUCCAUAGCAGUAAUCUUUUCUUUUUUUUUUUUUUUUUUUUUUUUUUUUGCUCCAGUCAAGGGAGAAGCAGUGAUGUUUUAGUAUCCAGAAAGUGGAAAUAACCCAAAUGCCCAUCAACAGCAGAAUGAAAUUGUACUAUAUUCACACCAUGGAAUAUUGUAUAGCAAAGAGAAUGAAUGAACUAUUAACAGAAAAGACAUGGACAAAUCUCAUAAACAUGAUGCUGAAAGAAACCACAGUCAAAAAAGAAGAUGCUUCCCAACCUUUUGCAGACCAUGGCAUACGCAGAAAAUGACAACAUCGGAAUGGCACACUGGCAUACCAGUUGGGGAUCCUUGCAGUCAAUGCUGACUGGACUCAUCCUUCAGCCGCCCCCAAGAAGAGAGAGAUCAAUACCUUGGCACAUCUGUGGGAAAGCUCCCAUUAGAGAGUGUGGGGAAGACACAGGCCUCCACAACACAUUUCAGGUUCUCUAAACUGGCAAAGGGGAAGAGUCUGGGCUUCCUUUGCCCUUUUGUUCUCAAAGAGCCCAGCUGUGCACACCCCUCACCCCUGCACUAUAGCUCCCAUUUGGGUAGUGAAAAAUCACAGGACUCAGGGGAGUUAUGCAGCAUUCGGGAAUGGAGACCUGGAAAGCCACACACUCCUCCUUGCUUUCCUGUGAGCCUCUCUUCUUGCUGUCCCCUUUACAACCAACAGUCCCUGCAGGGGGAAGACACUCUGCUUUAGUCAGUUCCACCUCCCUUCCAGAUCUCAUCCUCCUUUCAGCCUAAUUUUCCUCACACUGUCAUGCUCCUUCCCACUGCUCGCCCCCCACCCCCUACUCUCCUCCAGCACAUCACACAUUGCGCCUGGGCACACUGAGCUUGUCUGCCAUCUAUGAAGAGGCCCAUGUCACCCAAGCCCUUCUCUUUCCCUGUCAUGCCAUAGCCUCUUCCAGGAGCGCUCAGCCUGCUGUUUCUGCUCAGACCUCCCCUCCUCUGCAAAGCCUCCUUCUGCGUGCUGCCCGAGAGCCAUCCCCCACUUGGGUUUGUGUUACUGCUGUGUAUGGCAGCAUCUUCACUGUGCCUGAUUUCCCGUCUUGGCCCAUCGUAGGUGCUCAACAAUUGUUUCUCAAAUGACCAGCGCCUGCAGAGGGACCCUGACAUGAACUCCACCCCACCCCGACUCUUGGCAGUUACUCACUGUCCCCUUGAGUCGGGAUCCCAGCCCCUCAGGGGACCUGUCUUGCAGCCAUUCCACGCUCUGUCACCCCACUGCCAGGAGACUAGAGCCACACUGCCUGGAUGACGCUCAUCUUUACCAGCUCGCAGCUCUGCCAGCUGCCUGCUCAGGGGUGGCCGCCAGCUGAGGGAUUGAGCUGAUUAUAGGUGAAUCAGCACCAGGCUGAUUGUGGUGUGAAAAAGGGGAAGGGUGACUGUGUCUUAGCCUCAAUCCUGGCUCCCCUCCUUCCAGCCCUGACCUGCAGUAACAGCACAGGGCCACCAGAGGCUCUAUUGGGCGACUCAUGCCCCGCGGAGAAAGGCCCAGUAGGAGAGCAUCUGACCCAGUUCCCAGCAGAUGAGAAAGGAAGAAGAGUUCAGGAGGCUUCUACUCUCAGAGGUCUCCAGCACUGAAACCCCGCAGCCGCACCUGGCUGCCUUAUCCUUGUGUUUUGCCCCUCAUGGGUCUAGAAGCUGUUGUGUUACACCUUAACAUCUUCCUCCUUGCUUGCCAUGAGCCCCUCUGCUUGCAGCCCCCUUUACAGAACAACAGUCAUGGUAGAGGGAAGAUGUCUCCACUUUUGUCAGUUCUGCCUCCUUUAGGAGAGUGUCAGGCCUAACCCAUGUGUGCUCUGUCUUUCAGGGCAUGGAAAAGACUAUUGUCCUGUUUCGUCUUUUCAACACCUCUUGACUCUCUCCCCCUGGUUUCCUAACAGCCAGCUAGGUUCAGGGCCUCCCAUCUCUGGCCAGGAUUAGUGCAAUGGCUUUCUGAAGGGUCCCAGGCUCCAGGGAGCCCCUUGCCCAUCAAGUCUCUACCCUGGAGCCAGACAGCCCUUACUUCCAUCAGACAUCAGCCUCCAGUGGCUCCGAAAGGCCAGGCAUCCACACAGCACCCCACGGCCCCAAGAACUGGCUGCUUGAUUUUCCUGCCCUGUGUCCCUCCUCUCCUUGGCCCUCUACCCAGCAAUCACCCCAAAACACUGUGAUGUUUCAAGCCUUUGUACUUUGCACACAUUCUUCUCCAUGGCCUAAUUCCCUCUCUCCACCCCUCACUCCACACCUCCUCCACCUUUACCCUUUCUCCCCAUUCUUUCUUCACCGGGCACAGCCCUACUUAUCCUUCAAAACUGCCACUUCCUCUGCGAAGCCUUUCCUGACCCGUGUCCCAGAAUCCCUCCUCUGAACAAAUCCUGUUCCCUAAACAUGCAUCUCUCAUUGUAUCUGUCACUCAAGGGUUGCAAUAAUUACACACACGCCUGUCCUUUGUCCUCCACUGGCUCUGUACCUCCAUGUGGGACCCAUGGCCAGCACACAUUGGUGGUGCCCGAAAGCUGUUGCACUGGAGUUGUUCCUUCUGCCCCAUCACCUCCCACCUUGAACAAGUCCUUUAGAUGACCUGAACUCCAGUUUGUUGAUCUGCAAAAUGGAGAGAUGUGAGAAUCAGAAGAGAACACGUAAUGAAAGGGUGUUAUAAACUGCUAAGGGCUGUACAAAUGUUUGUAUUGCAUUUUUGUCUUCCAGACUAGUGUUUACCUACACUUGCCUGUGUGGAAAUCAGAAGAUUAAAGGAAUGCGAUGUGAUCUUUUUGUAAUUUCCCCACUUGGGUCAAGGGAAAAGCUGGUCAAGAGUAAACCAUUAAUUCAUCCCCCUGCAGGCCCCCCAAUCUUCCCUAGAAUUCUGGGUUAAUGAUUCUGAGGUUGUUUUCCUCACAGAGCCAAUUCAUAUCUAAUCUUUGGCAUGUUCCCCCCUUUAUUAAGAAUAACUUGACUCACCCCAUUAAUUCCUCAUCCUGGGGUCACGAGCCUUGUUUUGCAGAAGGAAAUGGUGGCUGUGUGUAUGUCUUGGGCCUUCUUUCUUUCUCAAACCCCUUUCUUUCAUGGAUUCAUGCCUACAAUUCCCUCUGUGGACAGAAGAGACCUCUCCUUACCUGCAUAAUGAAAUGUGUGACUUUUCUCAAAAGUAGCUUUAGGAAUUAACUGUGGAGGUCCAAGUAGCAAGGAUGCUGUGACCUAACUCGUUACCCCCUCACGUGUGGUUUGGAAUCCCAGCAGAAAAAAUUUCCUGAAGAUCUGGUACGGAGAAACCAUUCUGGGCCUGGCUUUUAAAUGUUUUAUUAGCAGCUGGGCGAGGACUGGGCUGCAAAGAGAUGCAGCCCCCGUCAGAAGCGAUCCCUGUUGGGGAGCAAGGCCUGGAAUUCCAGGAGGGAGGUCUGUUUAUAGCUGAGGCAGAGGCUGGGGAGCGAAGCCUGGGAGCCAGACAUGGCUUAAGGGUGGUCUGGACACUCUUGAGAUAAGGCCAACUAAGGACUAUGAGCUCAUUGAAGUUCCAAAGCCAACUCACAGCAGCUCACCACCAGACAUGUCCCCUGCCCCCACAUUCCCUCCUCUCAAUCCAGGAAUUUUGGUGCUCAUCUCUAUAAAGUUUUAGACCAUGGUGGUAGGAACCUGGUAAGUCUCAGGUUCUUGCAUUGCCCGAUUCUCCUUGGAUUUGCUGGGUUUGCCUCCUUCCCAUGUCUCAGACAGGGCUUUGCAUAAAGAAGUGGGCUGGUAGAUCUGCAAAGGUCCCUCUGUGUGACUGGAGCAAGUUACCCUCUUGAGCCUCAGUGUCCUCUUCUGUAAAAUAGGGAUAUCAUUCUUUCUUUCCCAAGGCUUUUGGUAAUAAUGUCAUUCUCAUGUGAUUCUUAACAAAAUGGGCCUUUCAGACUUAGAUCACUUUUGUGCAUGCAUAAAAAUGAAAGCAUUGAGGAGAAGGAAUUGGUGAAUAUAUGUCUGGAGCAAUAACUUCAUCAGAACUGCCACGGUGGUUGUAGGACCAUUCUGAUUCCAGAGGUAUUAAAAUGCAAAACACAAUGUUGAAAUGCAAAACCCAACAAAAUAAUAAACAGCCUUGUACCUACCGCCUCCCUUAAGAACUAAAACAAUUCCCAACACCACUGAAAGACUGUGUUCACCUCCUUGAUCCAAUCUCUUGCCUUUCCACCCCAGAGAAAACCACUGUCCUGAAUUUUUUCCCACUCCCUUGGUUUUGUUUUACCAAACAUGUAUCCAAUAUGUAACAUAUUAUUUGUAUUUGAUCUUGUUUUUGAAUUGUCCUGUAGGUAGAAUUAUAUCUUAUUCUGCAAUUUGCUUUUUAAAGUUUUUGAAAGAGCAAAACUUAUCUAUGCUAAUACGCUAAUGUGUGUAGCUGCCAUUUAUUUGUCACUGCAUAUACCCCUCUCAAUUCUGUUGAUGGAAAUUUAGGCAGUUUCCAGUAUUAUUUUGCUACAAACAUUCUCAUGGCUGUCUCCUGCAACAUGUGUGUUUCUUGGGAGUAUAC